rnacentral:rRNA from 1 species
CCAAUAGCGUAUAUUAAAGUUGUUGCAGUUAAAAAGCUCGUAGUUGAAUUUUGGGUCUGGCCGGGCGGUCCGCCCUCUGGGUGAGCACUGUUCCGACGUCGGGCCUAUCCUUCUGGUGAGUCGGCAUGUCCUUUAUUGGGUGUGUCGGGGAACCAGGACCAUUACCUUGAAAAAAUUAGAGUGUUCAAAGCAGGCGUAUGCUCGGAUACAUUAGCAUGGAAUAAUGAAAUAGGACGCGUGGUGCUAUUUUGUUGGUUUCUAGAACCGCCGUAAUGAUUAAUAGGGAUAGUUGGGGGCAUUAGUAUUCAAUUGUCAGAGGUGAAAUUCUUGGAUUUAUUGAAGACUAACUUCUGCGAAAGCAUUUGACAAGGAUGUUUUCAUUAAUCAAGAACGAAAGUUAGGGGAUCGAAGACGAUAAGAUACCGUCGUAGUCUUAACCAUAAACUAUGCCGACUAGGAAUCGGGCGAUGUUAUUCUCAUGACUCGCCCGGCGCCUUAUG